AUUGAACGCUGGCGGCAUGCCUUACACAUGCAAGUCGAACGGCAGCAUGGAGAGCUUGCUCUCUGAUGGCGAGUGGCGAACGGGUGAGUAAAGCAUCGGAACGUACCGUGUAGUGGGGGAUAACGUAGCGAAAGUUACGCUAAUAUCGCAUACGCACUGAGGUGGAAAGCAGGGGAUCGUAAGACCUUGCGCUAUACGAGCGGCCGAUGUCAGAUUAGCUAGUUGGUAGGGUAAAGGCCUACCAAGGCGACGAUCUGUAGCGGGUCUGAGAGGAUGAUCCGCCACACUGGGACUGAGACACGGCCCAGACUCCUACGGGAGGCAGCAGUGGGGAAUUUUGGACAAUGGGGGCAACCCUGAUCCAGCCAUGCCGCGUGAGUGAAGAAGGCCUUCGGGUUGUGAAGCUCUUUCGGCCGGGAAGAAAUCGCACAGGCUAAUACCCUGUGUGGAUGACGGUACCGGCAUAAGAAGCACCGGCUAACUACGUGCCAGCAGCCGCCGUAA
rnacentral:rRNA from 1 species